AUUGAACGCUGGCGGCAGGCCUAACACAUGCAAGUCGAACGAGUGGCGGACGGGUGAGUAAUGUCUGGGAAACUGCCCGAUGGAGGGGGAUAACUACUGGAAACGGUAGCUAAUACCGCAUACCAUCGGAUGUGCCCAGAUGGGAUUAGCUAGUAGGUGGGGUAAAGGCUCACCUAGGCGACGAUCCCUAGCUGGUCUGAGAGGAUGACCAGCCACACUGGAACGGGGACACGGUCCAGACUCCUAGGGGGGGCAGCAGUGGGAAAUAUUGCACAAGGGGCGAAAGCCGGAUGCAGCCAUGCCGGGGGGAUGAAGAAGGCCUUGGGUUUGUAAAGUACUUUCAGCGGGGAGGCGUUACCCGCAGAAGAAGCACCGGCUAACUCCGUGCCAGCAGCCGCGUAAUAC
rnacentral:rRNA from 1 species